UCUGCCCUGCAGCCCCUCAGGCCGCCUGGGCUGCGCCCGGGGGCGGAGGCCGCGGGGGAGGGGAUUGCACCUCACUGCUGGAGGCGGCCCAGGUGCCGCUGCCCUCCCCGUGCUCGCGGAGCGACACGGAGCGGGGCAGGGGUUGCCAUUGACACGUCCCUGCUCUGCGCCCAGUGGGGGUAAGGGACUGGGCGCUCACCGUAGCCACACGCAGCCGGGUGCCACCGCCCCAGGGCACGUUGUCAUACACCGUCGCAGCGGCUCAGGGACCGGUCCCAGUACGAGCAGGCAGGCCGUGGGCCGCAGGUUAGUCAGCCGAGCCUGAGGGAAAAGGCCCGGGAAGACACAAGCGAGCAUGUGGGACGUUACCUCGGUGUGUUGUGGCCUAAGGGCCCUGUUACGUCGCCCAGGGUACAACACAGGCAGCGAAGGCUGGUUCAGACUUGUUAGCGUAACCCACGUGUGGCGGGGUGGGACGGGUCUCCCUCGGGAGCCUGCAUCCGAACAGGGCUUUUCAGGCACGGAAAGCCAACUCAACCGAACUAAUAUGGGGGGGAGGCAGACACAGACACAAAACUUUUUUCUCCCACCAACACUAGGCCUAAUACAAGUAAAACCUCGUGUGCAUCUUCACUCCUGCAAAGUAGCUGUAGGAUUAGGACAGAGAGAUAAAUGCAUAGUGUUUGUGUUGUCAGACUCAAAAAUAAUUACUGGGACAUGCAUACAUUUAUUAAUCCCCUUCUACCCAAAGAAAUUAAUAGUUUAUGUAUUUAUAAGGAGCCAGAUUCUGAUAGCCGUAGCAAGUUAGCAUCAUAGUGCACGGACUUCAUUGACAUUAAUGGAACCACUCCUGAAAUAUUACUUAAGAGUAAGGAUAUCCAAAUUUGGCGUAUUGAUUGUAUAUGUGUAUACAUUCAUAACAUAUGAAUAGUUGCUUGUAGGCAUUUUAUCUGAAAUCUAAGUGCAAAUUGGAAAGCACAGCCAGAUAUUUUUUUUUUUUCCCCCGAAAGGAUGAACUAACACAGAGUAAGACAGCUCAGUUAAAGAAAACUGUGCAAGCAAAUCGUACAUUUAGAGAACUGAUCGUUAAUAUACCUGAAGACCACUACAUAAUUCCUCUCAGAUCAGUACAGCCCAAUGGCAACACACUUUAAGCACACAGUUGUAACAAAUAUGCACAUGCCUGAUUAAUGGUGCUAUUUGCCAUUUUAGUUGCAUAGAUGAAAAUCCCUUCACUAUUACUAGGUUUGGCAGAAUUUGAUUUUGGUUUUUUUUGGUAAUUGUGACAUAUUUAAUGUAUAUUUUAAGCAUUUUUUCAACUUUUAUCUAUUUAAAUUUUCACAGUUGCAGAAAAUUACCAUUACUUAAUGACAGUAGACACAGGUAUAAAAAGUUACGGCCUUAUUAAAACACAAAUUGUCAACAUCACAUCAGCAUCAACAAAGUAAAUAUCAUUAAACUAAACUCUAAGAAGUUCUAAAGCAGCAUUUCUUUUUGCCUAUCUGUACAUUCCUGUUAUUAUUGAUGGAGAUUUUUUGUCAGUGUGUGUGUGUGUGUGUGUGUGUGUGUGUGUGUUCGGUGAAAUCAAUGUUAACUGACAUUUACUGGUAAAAAUCUAAUCCUUCCAAAUGUAAUUAUAAUGGACUGAUGCAACUCCAGAAACACAUUCACAAUCAUACCACUUUAAUUUUUUUAAAAAAACCUCUCCAUGAAAGAUUACAGCUGACAUUUUUCUUCAUUUUCACUAGUGUUGUUAAACUAGAUAUGCAGCCUUGACUACUACUAACUUUUGAAUAAAAUUAUGUUUAAUUUCCAA